UACUGCAAUUAGUCAUAUCUAUGCUGGUACUGCAGUUAGUCAUACCUAUGAUGUGACGUCAUCAGUUUUUGAGCUCAAUAUUUUUGUGUGUAGAGCCCGUGAACUUAUGUCAGGCGGGCUCAUGUCUACGAUCAUUUUGUACUGAAUGUACUUUUCACUGGAGGAAACUACUUAAUUGGAUUUAUACAGUAUUGAGCUUCUUGUGCUCCUCAUGAAUUGUCCCAAUCCAACAACCACCGCUACAAUAAGAUGCCGAACAUGUGAAUGAAAUGGAUUUUUACAGAACUAUGUUCCUUGUGUUCCUCAUGAAUAUUCUUAUGCCAACAACAGCCGCUGCAAAAAAAAAACAAAAACUGCCAAAUGUAUGAAUACAAAGGUCAGUUACACCAAACCCUCAGUCGUUUUGAAGUCCAACUCUCUUCUUGUCGCACGCGAGAGUGUGUUUCUGUCGCUGUGACGGAACUGUCGUCUGCCUGAUGAAUCUGUACCGAGUGACCCGUAAAGAUGAUUGUUUGACGUGCUUGAACCCAUUCAGGUUAUACAGGCUACCUCCAUAUAUUUUUGUGUGAAUGCGGAUGUUUCGGAAUUUAUUCUUGCAGCACUGCGUGAGGAAUUUGCAUAGUGUCAUAAAAAUCUAUGCUUUUGUGUACUUUAAAUGUCUAAAAUAGAUUGUUAUGGUCGUUUUCAACGAGAAGAUAAUUAGUACUUUGCUGUCUGCUUUCUAGUAACAGGGGCGACGAGUUAGAAAAAGUGUUAGUACAACUUAACCCAUGUGUUUGUUAUUUUUCUUCUCGAAAUUGCGUCAUUCAGUCAUUCUUUUAUCUAUGGGAUUCUUUAUUUUGAAAUCCAUUUCUUUGUAAAAAUAAAAACAAAAACAAUGUAUCUUUAUAUAUCAACACAUGUACUAGUUGUAUGACUGUAGUUCUUAAAAUCGAU